AUUUUGUAAUGAAUCAAACUAGCUCACUAUGACUGACAAUGAAAAUACACUAACACCUGAGAAAC